CCGCUGCGUGCACCAAGUGCUUUGAAAGUUUUUCGCCGAUUAAAACGAAUAAAAACCUCGUCGAAAGGCAAAGAAGGCAGGGUUGAAAAGUACUCAGCUCGACACCGGAGAAAAAAGAAACCCCCAUAGGAACUCCGGUUGUUCGGGUGUGUCCUAACAGCCUCACUCUGGACCUCUUGGACCUCGUGAGUCCGUGUCCCCAGUCCCUGCGGGGACAGCUCAGGAAGAGAGCGGGUUCCAGGACAGCCCAAGCAUCCGAAUCAAGUUAUCUACACCUUCGAGACUGAGCAAUAGAUGAACGAAUCGAGUCUAUUUGGGCAUUUUCCAGGGGAAAUGAAAGUGUAUGCCCAAAGAAGGACUUGUAUUUCAAUGUUCGUAGAAGUUUUAUGCACAAGAGUCCAAAACUGCAAAAAAAUCCGAAAGUUCAUCAACUGGGAUGGUGUGAAGUGUCUACAGGCAUCCGAGUGAACCCAAAGGGAGAGUUUGGCUGGCACACGGGGAGACGGGCCAAGGCGCGGCGGGCGAGGGCGGCACAAGCAUGGCGCUGUGACACCACUGCUGGGAGCAGAGCUGAAAGGUGUCUUUUGCUGUAAGGACUUUCAUAAGGCAGUCCCAAUCCAAAGACUGGCUUUAAUUUCACGGCCUUAGCCUCUCAGUUUCUUAAGCCUUCUGAGGACCUCCUGAUCAUGACAAUUAAGUCACUAUUUACAGCCAUGUGACAGAUAAAUCAGUAUUAGGUGAUUUGUUCUGAAGGACCCCCAAAAGGAAACAUAUGAGAGAACCCACACUCGGCACAGGAACGGCAAGAGUCCUCCUGUGAG
rnacentral:sRNA from 1 species